UUUAUCCCCAUGAGAGCAGGCCUCGGUCUUCCCCACCUCUGUGUCCAUCAAGUUACCCAGGAUAUCUGCCUCAUAGUAGGUCUUGCUCAAUCCAGAUGUAUCGCUGAAACCAGGCAAAUUCUCCUGCAUUUCUGUCACUCACCCUUGGCUGCUUCCGGACACCUUACCUUCUCCUGUCCUUAGUUCUCAAACGUGUGGGAGAUUCUGGAGGAUGAAAGAACACUACCUGCCCAACUGGAAGCUAAUUAGCUGAGAAGUCUUAGAGCUCCCAAGGAGUGAGGCUGCUCCAAAGUUGGCUGCUGCAACCAAGUUCCUUUGGCCUCUAGAAAGGAGAAUUUGAUGAUUCCUACUUCUAAGUGGACCACAGCUUGGUGUGGAAUUGACUUGUCAACACAUAACACAAUGUCUUAAGUGCCAGAAUGGAAGGCUCAUAUGAAAAGUGAUUUUGGAAUCCAAGGGCCAGUCAAGAUGUUCUUACCAAGUGGACCUUUAAGCUGAGUUUUGAGGUAGAAGGUGACACAUGGGCAAGGGGUGGAGUAGGACUUUCAAGGCAGAUAGAACAACAUAGAAGGCAUGGGAAUGGUAAAAAACUGUGAUGUGUGUGUCUUUGGCUGGUGCUGGUGGCAAAACUAUAGAUACUUUGAGCUAACUGUAGUGCUCAGUGCUGAUGACAGGAUAUUGGAGCAUUCAUAACAUGGCAGCUUAUUCAUGAAAUAAUUCUUAUUUUUUUAUGAGAAGUGGCAAAGUCAUGAGUCCACACGUACCUUCUAACCCCCAAACCAGACCAACUCCUUGAAUAUUAUUUUGGAGCAGUGUUUGAUGAUCAAGAGGCAUGAGCCUAUGAUCUAUAUUUAGUCAUGUGCUUGACAAUAUGGGGCCACCCUGUAAGAGCAGAGUUUCUGUGUCAGCUGGGGAAGUACUGAUGUCAGGAUGAGAUCCUCUGAUGAUGUUGUCCCCAGCUUGGAAAUUACUGGUAACAAAAAAUGUUAGUCUUUUAUAUUGUUUUUUCACUGAUUCUGGUUGGCUGAUUACAAGGUACAGGGAAAGCAUUGUGAGCUAAAAAAGCACCAGUUUAAAUAUUUGCAUGUGGGUUGCUGUAUAAGAUUUUCUAUAUUUAAUGCAAAAAUUGAAUGAAGUCAUUCUAAUGGGUAUCUGACUCAUUUGGAAAGUGAACACUAUAGAUUUGCCACAUGCCAGUAAACACCCAUGCAUUUCUAUACCUCUUUAAGUAGAUGCUUCAAUACUUGCUCUCAUAUUAGUAUUAUUGCCUAGUUGGCACACUUUAGUGGGAGUGGAAAAAACCAUUUCAUGGGUGUGAGUGGACACCAACCUGGGAGUGAGAAAAUCUACAUUCCAGAUCUGGCUGUCUUAUUGGGUGCUUGGCUGUGUGACUUUAGGCAAGUCCCUACAGGUGGACAUUGAGAAGGAGCUGACAUUGCCUUUUUCUAACUUGGAUGGCACUAAAUGGAAAUUGAGUUAGGACAGAGAAAAGCAGGCUAGACACAAACAGGCCUUAAGUAUCACAGAAAAUUAAAUCCCUGCAGAAUAUAAUCAUGGGGACUCAAAUGCAACAAAAAUAUUAACUCUGAUUUACAACAUUCCCUAAAAAUUUGUUUCAUAAUAUUAAUAUUACAAGAAGACUGAGGAAUUAGUGUCUUUAAAGCUGGUUCAUUCAUUCAUGGUCUUCUUAAAGAGGACCUAUUGAGUGGAUGAACUGUUAAUUGCAAUUUCAAGUCGAGUGUUAAUAGGUGGUAUGUUUUGACCAUUUACUGUGGAUCAGCGCUGUUGUAAAUAGUUAACAAUCAUUAUCUAAUUUAAUCUUCACCACCAACCUUAUGAGGUAGUGCUAUUAAUAUCCCCAUUUUGCAAUGGAGGAAAUUGAGGUUUGCCAAGGUUAAGCAACUUGCCCCAAUCUGAUGGCUGUUAAGCAGCAGAAACUAAAAUAUUGGUCUAUCUCAUGCCAUAAUUGCUUAUCUGUUAUUGCCUGUUCAAUUCUUCACAUUUACAGAACCCUGAAGCAUUGGUUUGCAUCUAUAUUUCCAAGGACUUGAGAUUUGAGAAGGGUCUUUUCAUUCAAUAUCCAUCUAAUCCACAUUUUCUUUUUCCUUGUAAUCCAUGACGAGACAGACUUAUGCCUAAAAAGAACAUCCGUCUAUCAUUCCUUAGGUCAAAAACUUCCUUCCUUGGUGUCCUUUUAUCUUUAAGAUAAAAUUCUGGCUUUAUAACAUGGCAUUUAAUGACCCUUUAGGCCUUUUCCAAUGUAACUGUCUGGUGUGAAUGCUGUAUCCCAACCCAACUCCCCUCAGAUCAGAGAGGUCUAGUCAUUGUACAUCCUUGAAACACUCCUCUUCUCCUGCCACCCUACUGACUUAGGAAAGCUCCCACUUACCCUCCUCCAGGCAUCUAUAACAUGCCUUUUGGGGGAUGACCAUUUGUAUGGUAUCUGUCAAUCCCCAGUCCUUAAUGAAGCCCUACCUUGAUGUGUCAAGACAUCCACUUAAAUCCUGCCUAUAUUUAUUCAUUUGUUCACUCAGUUACUCAUUCGUUCAACAUUUAUUGAACAUCUAUAUGUGCCAGUCUUUGUGCUAAGGAUGUCCUGUUAAAAACCAGAUAGUGCACCUGUUGUAGAUAUUUUUCUGUUUAAUUAUGAUUCAUUUGUGUAAAGGGAUAGUAAUCUUGUUGAGAGUAGAUCUUUUUCCUUUUCUUUUUCUGCAUCUUUGCGUCUUCAAUAUUGGCACAUAGCAAGUUACCAGUAAAUGUUUUUAUUUUUUAUUUUUGAUGAAUUUCUGAAUCACAUUGCUUUUUAACCUAAUUUAUUCAUAUAGUAUCUGAGGAAAUCAAAACAUUUGUGUCUUUUUGGCAAGAAUUUUAUGACUAUAAACUAAAGUAUUGGUUUAUCUCAUGCCAUAAUUGCUUAUCUGUUAUUGCCUGUUCAAUUCUUCACAUUUACAGAACCCUGAAGCAUUAGUUUGCAAUGCUAAAUAUCAUUUGUGAAAAUAUUAUCAGGGUUUCAAAAAGUAUUUUUUUGUUUUUCUUGUCUUUCUUUUUUUGCUCAUUACCUUCACCACACUGAAUGCAAAGCACCCAAAAGAUGUUAUAUGAAUGUAAUGGUUAGGAGGUUUUUUGGUGCCCUUUACUUAACUAUAGAUGAGAACAGUAAAAGCUAGUUGACUUGGUAUGAACAUUUCCUUAAGAGUCUAAGAUGUUUCUGGGUCAAAAGUUCAGAUGGAUUUUGCAGAACUUCAGAGGAAGAACUUCUUCAUUGUAGGGGUUUCAGCCUCAAAAAUGACUUGAAGUACUUUUACAUCUGGCUAAAUUCAAUUCAACCAUUUGCUGUAGCACUUACAACCCUGCACAUUGUACUUAUAACUUAGAUACUGACUUUCUGGUAAUGGUAUUACCCUAAAGCAAAAGGUCUAGAUGAAGAUGCCUGAAAGCUGCAUCUCCUAAGCAAUUUUUCUGGGAGAGAGAAGCAACACACACACACAAACACAUACACACACACACACACACUCUCACACACAGAGAGAGAGAGAGAGAGAGAGUGUUCCAGAGACAAAUAAGUUGGAAAGUACUUCUUUACUAAGUACUUAGUAAAUAUCAUCUUUUGUAUAUUUACCAAGCACAUUUGCAUACAAAAGACUCUGAGAAGUCUAUACAUAAAGAGGCCUCACUAAUUGUAUUACCCCAAAUUAUUGGACUGUACAAUUUUCCCCAUUCCUAUACUACUUGACUCUGGCUUCUUCCUGUGACUCUAUGUCUUCAUUAAUUCAUUCAGCAAAUUUGCAUUGCCCAAUACUGCUGGCCACCAAGGAGUAUAACAAAGUCCCUAUCUUCAGUAGCUCAGAGUCUACUGGGGAAGCAGAUAAGUAAACAGUGGGUAAACAGGUCUGUGAUAUGAGCUAUAAUGGAUGUAUUCAUCAGGAGCUGGAAAUCAGACAUUGUAUUCAGGAAAGUGGAAUAGAAGUAGACUUGCACCAAGUUCUUCAGAAUUGGAAAUUGACCAGGCCAAUGGUCAAGCAUAGGAGAUUCCAGGCAACAAGAAGUACAUGAAAGUCAUUAAAUAUGAAUAAGUGACAAGUCUGCCCUGAUUAAGAUACAGGGUUGAAAGAGGACACUAGAAUGUGAUGAUAUGAAUGAAGCAGCAAGACAAGAUCCUGAAGAACCCUAUUUCUCAUCUGGGUUUGUCCUUUGCUUUUUCAGAACUGAUCCUUGGGUCAGGCCUGGCAGUUCUGGUUUGGCUUUUCAUGCCCUCUUACCAGCAGCAGGGACAGGAGGCACACAAGAUGAUUCAGAAUAUGGGAAACUGGGUUCCAGAGUUGUAGGAGUUGGUCAGAAUAGGAGGCGGCUGUAGAUGCCACUGGAAAGUCCCCAAAGAAUGAGUGCUCCUGAUAACAAAUUGUUUUUCUCUCUCAAUGAUUUUUGAUAUAACCAAAUGAUUCAUGCUUUUCUACCUAUAACACCCAGUACUGCUUCAGACACGGGUAGUGCAAGUGCGCUCACCACCACUCUGCUCUCUGCUUGAAAAUUAUUGUGUAAAAUGGUUUCCCUAAUAGAAACUGUUAUUAUUGACAAGUGGUAAAAUGGUACCUCAGGUUCUUUUUCUCUCUCUAGAUCCUGGCUGCAUAAUAAUUUUCCUUUUGAUUUUUUAAAAUAUUUUUUUCUCUCAGCUAUGUAUGUAUGUAUUUGUAAGCUUAUAAGUGAGAUAAAAUAUUGUUCAUAAAUGUUGUUACAUUUUCUCAUGUCCAGCAAAAAGAAAACUCCCUAGCAAAAUGAUCUUAAAAAUGGAAAACUCUACAAGUUAUUUAUUCCCUCAUCUGUAAAACAGUAGGGCUGGGCUAGCUUGUCUCUGGGGUCCCUUCUAACAUUAAGGUAAUGUUCCUGGUUUCCAUGGGAGUUGGACAAAAUUGUGGACAGCAGCUGUGAAAGAUAAUUGCCUCAGCAAGAAAUUUGUCCCUCACAGACUCUGGGAAAUGGUGAGCAUGUAUUGUAUUUCAUGUUAUGACUGGAAGAUGUGAACAAUAAUUAUGAGAACAUCCAUAGAAUUUCCCCCGGGGUAUAAAAUACAGAUAAAAAUCUCAUAAUAUUAACCUUUGAUUGCUGAUAUUCAUGAAGACUGGAACUCUCUACGGAGCUCCCUGAGAUUGGGACUGUGCUACUUGUCAUCUGGAUCUACUUGUCUAUGAGGAUGCCCAGGCCUUGGCUGGCUUCCAACAAUCAAUUCAUUCAUCCGUCUGACAAAUAUUUACUGGGCACCAGCCUUGUAUAGGGCAUUAUUCUAGGGGCUAAGAAGAAGGAUAAAUAAGAGCUCACAGUGUAGAGGGGAACUCAGAUAUGCAGUCCAUUCAACAGACAUACAUUGGGUGCCUAGAAUGUGCAUGGCUCUUGACAAAUAGGAAUGAAAUAAAUGACAACUUAUGCAUGUGCUCAAGCUCAAACUGAUACAUGGUUACUAAUCCAUGGUGUCUAGACUCAGAAGUUUCACAGAGGAGAUAGCAUAAAACAAGAUUUUAAAGGAAGAGUUGGGGCUCACCAAGUGGCUAAGAUGAAGGCCCUUCUAUGAAGAUGGAACAGCAUCUCCCAAAGUACAGAGGCAUAAAAAACGUGGUGUGGUUGAAGUAGUUGCGAGUGGUUGUGAUGGUCGCAAUAUGGCUGAAGAUAAGACUUGGAGGCUUGAAAGAGCCUCAUAUGCCGGUUCAGGAAAUCUGGAGAGAAAUAGGGACCCACAGAAAGAUUUGGGCAGAAUGCCUCAGUUGCUCGUUUGUAACACAGAACUAAAAAAGCCAACAUUUAUAGAAGUAUUGUGAGCAUCAAUAAUAAUAAGAAUAGUUGGGGGGAGGAGCCAAGAUGGCCGAAUAGGAACAGCUCCGGUCUACAGCUCCCAGCGUGAGUGACACAGAAGAUGGGUGAUUUCUGCAUUUCCAUCUGAGAUACCGGGUUCAUCUCACUAGGGAGUGCCAGACAGUGGGCGCAGGUCAGUGGGUGCACGCACCGUGUGCCAGCUGAAGCAGGGCGAGGCAUUGCCUCACUCAGGAAGCAUAGGGGGUCAGGGAAUUCCCUUUCCUAGUCAAAGAAAGGGGUGACAGACGGCACCUGGAAGAAAGGGUCACUCCCACCCGAAUACUGCGCUUUUCCGAAGGGCUUAAAAAACGGUGCACCAGGAGAUUGUGUCUCGCACCUGGCUCGGAUGGUCCUCCGCCCACGGAGUCUCCCUGAUUGCUAGCACAGGAGUCUGAGAUCAAACUGCAAGGCGGCAGCGAGGCUGGGGGAGGGGCGCCCGCCAUUGUCCAGGCUUGCUUAGGUAAACAAAGCAGCCUGGAAGCUAGAACUGGGUGGAGCCCACCUCAGCUCAAGGAGGCCUGCCUGCCUCUGUAGGCUCCACCUCUAGGGGCAGGGCACAGACAAACAAAAAGACAGCAGUAACCUCUGCAGACUUAAGUGUCCCUGUCGGACAGCUUUGAAGAGAGCAGUGGUUCUCCCAGCAUGCAGCUGGAGAUCUGAGAACGGGCAGACUGCCUCCUCAAGUGGGUCCCUGUCCCCUGACCCCUGAGCAGCCUAACUGGGAGGCACCCCCAGGCAGGGACAGACUGACACCUCACACGGCUGGCCGGGUACUCCAACAGACCUGCAGCUGAGGGUCCUGUCUGUUAGAAGGAAAACUAACAAACAGAAAGGACAUCCACACCAAAAACCCAUCUGUAC
rnacentral:lncRNA from 1 species